GAUGAAGAACGCAGCGAAAUGCGAUAAGUAAUGUGAAUUGCAGAAUUCAGUGAAUCAUCGAAUCUUUGAACGCACAUUGCGCCCGCCAGCACUCUGGCGGGCAUGCCUGUUCGAGCGUCAUUUCAACCAUCAAGCCCCCAGGGGCUUGUGCUGGGGCCCUGCGGCUGCCCGCAGGCCCUGAAAACCAGUGGCGGGCUCGCUAGUCACACCGAGCGCAGUAGCACAUCUCGCUCAGGGCGUGCGGCGGGCUCCUGCCGUGAAACCCCCCACUGUAACCCCAAAGGUUGACCUCGGAUCAGGUAGGAAUACCCGCUGAACUUAAGCAUAUCAAUAACGGAGGA
rnacentral:misc_RNA from 1 species